rnacentral:lncRNA from 7 species
GAGAGGAGUGCCUGGGGAGGUUGUGGAGUCCGGUUCCCCGGGCCCCGUUCCAGUUGCGUGUGGGUGCUUUGCAGUGGGGCCUUGGCAUUCUGUCUGGCUGUGUGAUCUGUGCUCUUGUUGCAGGGUGAAGGCUGCAGAGAGGAUUGGCUGGAGCAGGUGUGCAGUUUUCCCAGUGGUGGGAUGAAGGAGGUGAGAGAGGGGGAGCCCCAGGUGGGAGCCCUCGUGGUGGAGGGCUGCCCCCAGGAGCGCCCCCUUGGAGGUGGUUGAUGGAGGUCUCUGUGCAGGUUCAGGCUGGAGGCAGGAUCCUGGCGGUGUGAGUGGGGCGCCCCUGUGGAGCAAGGUGAGCUGCAUGUUACCUGUGAGGUGGGUGGUGCCCUGGGGCUGGAGGCAGUGGCUGUGUGGGUGACGAUGUGCUUUUGUGACAGGGUGGAAGGUGCGUGGCAGGUCCUGUCCCGGAGGAGUGGAGUUAAGGGUCCUGGCGUGGCUGUUUUCCUGCAUGGAAGAUGGAGAUCCUGGGAGCUGUGAUGAGGAGGAGCAGAGCCAGCAGUGGCUCCUGUGUGGCAAUGGCUGCUUUGUGUGGUGCUCCUGGGCUGAAAGGAGGAGGAGAAAAAAGUUUUUAGUGUGGUUCUUCAAAGCUCAGGUAAGCUCCCUUGGAACCAACUCCUCUUCUUGUGACUUAAGAGGCUGCUUGUUCUCUGUAGUCGUGGACUGCACCCUGGGGGGGUUGGGGGAAGUGGCUGGAGGUCAUGUUUACUCCCUCACACCACAGGCAAACCAUCUCUAGCUAUGUAGGAUGGAUACUGUAGCAGCCUAAGUAGACUGAGACCCUCAGGAAGGAGGGCAGCUGCUGCUCUGCUCACUGACUUUAGCAUGCUGCUCUUGGAGGGGGAAAAAAUCAGACAAAUGGGAAAAUUAAAGGAGGGAAAUGCUGAUGACCUCUCCCUCUUGUGACAGGUCUCUAACAAGGCCAACUUGGUGUUGUGUUUAUAAAAAUGAAGAUGUCUCCUUGUGGGGAUAGGGCAUAAUACUAAAGAGCAUGCCUCUCAAAGUGCACUGGGUUGAAUUAGUGGAUGGGAGACUUGAAACUUAAAAAUGGGUAACUUUGUAAUAGUGGGAAAACCAGGUCCCCUGUUUGAGAGAGGUCUUCCUCUUGCUUUGCAGUUUCCCUUCAGCAAGAAGCUAUGGGGAGCUUCUAGGUCUAAUGCUGUUCCUCUGCUUUUGAGGUAUGCCCCUGAAAUACUGGUACUGGAGUCAGCCUCUGCGGGGUCUAAGUGGGUGCUGAGGGGUCCUUUCUCUGGAAGAACUACUGGCUGGUGACGGCUUCUUGUAAAGAUGGUUUCUACUGUGGGUGGAAAGGCUCUGUUCUACAUGUGGGAACGGGGAUGCCUAAGAAUAUCUGUGCUAAAAUGGAAUGGGUAGGAAGCUAAAGCUCUUGUAGUUGAAGGGAUCUGUCGUCUCCAGCUUAAAACAAAAGUGCAAUAAAUCCUUACUUACCACAAAAAAAAGAGGGGGCACCUGCUAUUUCUGUGCUUGGGGCUUCUUCCUUCCCUGGCUGAUGCCAUUGGUUCAGCAAUCUUGAGGGAUGAGAAAGGGGAGAAAAAUGAUGCCUUUGGUCAGCUGUUUAGCAUUGCAUGUUCUGUAAAAUAAAUAAAAAGUGAGACUUAUGUCAAUAACAAAUGCUUACAAAUCAUCUACUUCAACAGUACAAUGCCUCAGACUCACUUCACUCACCAGAUGAAAUCUCUGAGGAUCUUUCCUGUGUCUGUAUUGUUGCAGCUGAAUUUCUGCAUGGCAGCCUUUCUCGAAUGCAGUAGGGCUUCCCUGGCUUGAAGAUGGGUGUGCUGUCCUGAGGGAGGAGCAGUGUUGACUGUCUUACAGUGACCUUCUGCUUUCCUUUAAGAAGAGUCCACUAAGAACUGUAUUGGGUUUUUCAGUAGGUAACUCAGGAGAGGGCUUCUCGGUGAAAUCCUUUGUGUUGAAUUGCAGUAAGUUGAGUAUGUGAACCUUCCUCCCAAACUGAGACCGAACGCCAGCAAAAAUGCCAAAUAUGUUGUCCUGUUUCCCUUUAUAACAAAAGAUGUGGUACUUUGCUGGGGUUGCGCCUUUGUGUUCAAUGUUUGUAUGCAGUAUAUUGUAUCCUCAUGUGGGAGUCUGCCGUUAUUAACUGCACUGUUAAUAACUGUUAUUAUUAAUAUAAUAUAUUAAUAUAAACUGUAAAUUAAUAAUAAAAACUGUAAUUAUUAUUAAUAAACUUACAGUUUAUAAUCCAGUUGUGCUGUGAUAGAAGUUCAGCAGCUGGAUAAUGCAGGAUAGAAAAUGGAGUUGACAGAGAUGCAAAACGACUCUCCUACUGCCUUGACUUGAACUGUGUCUCAGUGUGCUAUUACACUGACUCAUUAGUGCAAGCAGAUGUGUACCAUGAGGAAGGGCUGUUUUCUGAUGUGGGAUUUAGUUCUUGGGCCUGCUUUCCUGACAAGGGUUUUCUUUACCUACUCCCAUGGAUGAUAAAUGCUUUGAACUAGACCAGAGGAUAAGACUUCCUGCUUCUGUAACCCAGGCUUUCUCUUGAGCAGGAGGCUGUCACUGGAACACACAGGAACAGUCAGAGCAAUUACUGAAUUGG